UGUGGUAAUUCUAUAGCUAAUACAUGCAUUUAAGCCGUGACCUUACGGGAUCGGCGCAUUUAUUAGAUCAAAGCCAAUCGGACGCAAGUCCGCUCUUUGGUGAAUCUGAAUAACUCAGCACAUCGUACGGUCCUAGUACCGACGACGCUUCUUUCAACAAUCUGCCCUAUCAACUUUCUAUGGUAGUUUAUGCACCUACCAUGGUUGUUACCGGUAACGGAGAAUCAGGGUUCGAUUCCGGAGAGGGAGCCUGAGAAACGGCUACCACAUCCAAGGAAGGCAGCAGGCACGCAAAUUACCCACUCCCGGCAAGGUGAGGUAGUGACGAAAAAUAACGAGAUGAUUCUCUAAGAGGGUCAUCAUCGGAAUGAGCACAAUUUAAAUCCUUUAACGAGGAUCUAUUGGAGGGCAAGUCUGGUGCCAGCACCCGCGGUAAUUCCAGCU
rnacentral:rRNA from 1 species